UAGUAACGGCGAGUGAAGCGGCAACAGCUCAAAUUUGAAAUCUGGCCCUCGGGUCCGAGUUGUAAUUUGUAGAGGAUGCUUUUGGUGCGGUGCCUUCCGAGUUCCCUGGAACGGGACGCCAUAGAGGGUGAGAGCCCCGUCUGGUUGGACACCAAGCCUCUGUAAAGCUCCUUCGACGAGUCGAGUAGUUUGGGAAUGCUGCUCUAAAUGGGAGGUAUAUGUCUUCUAAAGCUAAAUACCGGCCAGAGACCGAUAGCGCACAAGUAGAGUGAUCGAAAGAUGAAAAGCACUUUGAAAAGAGGGUUAAAUAGUACGUGAAAUUGUUGAAAGGGAAGCGCUUAUGACCAGACUUGAGCCCGGUUAAUCAUCCAGCCUUCUGGCUGGUGCACUUGGCCGGCUCAGGCCAGCAUCAGUUCGGCGCGGGGGAUAAAGGUUUCGGGAAUGUGGCUCCUCCGGGAGUGUUAUAGCCCGUUGCGUAAUACCCUGCGCUGGACUGAGGUUCGCGCAUCUGCAAGGAUGCUGGCGUAAUGGUCAUCAGCGACCCGUCUUGAAACACGGACCAAGGAGUCGUCUUCGUAUGCGAGUGUUCGGGUGUCAAACCCCUACGCGUAAUGAAAGUGAACGCAGGUGAGAGCUUCGGCGCAUCAUCGACCGAUCCUGAUGUUCUCGGAUGGAUUUGAGUAAGAGCAUACGGGGCCGGACCCGAAAGAAGGUGAACUAUGCCUGUAUAGGGUGAAGCCAGAGGAAACUCUGGUGGAGGCUCGCAGCGGUUCUGACGUGCAAAUCGAUCGUCAAAUAUGGGCAUGGGGGCGAAAGACUAAUCGAACCUUCUAGUAGCU
rnacentral:rRNA from 1 species